UACGGAAGGCAGCAGUGGGGAAUAUUGCACAAUGGGCGAAAGCCUGAUGCAGCUAUGCCGCGUGUAUGAAGAAGGCCUUAGGGUUGUAAAGUACUUUCAUCGGGGAGGAAAAAACAAAACUAAUAAUUUUAUUUCUUGACGUUACCCGAAAAAGAAGCACCGGCUAACUCCGUGCCAGCAGCCGCGGUAAUACGGAGGGUGCUAGCGUUAAUCAGAAUUACUGGGCGUAAAGAGCACGUAGGUGGUUUUUUUAAAGUCAGAUGUGAAAUCCCUGGGCUUAACCUAGGAACUGCAUUUUGAAACUGAAAUACUAGAGUAUCGUAGAGGGAGGUAGAAUUCUAGGUGUAGCGGUGAAAUGCGUAGAUAUCUGGAGGAAUACCUGUGGCGAAAGCGGCCUCCUAAACCGAAUACUGACACUGAGGGUGCGAAAGCGUGGGGAGCAAACAGGGAUUAGAUACC
rnacentral:rRNA from 1 species